UACAACCAUAUCAUGUUGGAAUCCGAUUCUCGUAUGAUCAACGAAGUUAAGCAACGUCGAGCCUAAUCAGUACCUAGAUGGGUGACCGCUUGGAAAUACUAGGUGCUGUCA